CCCCGCGCUACGCGUAGGGAGGCGGGGCCUCGGGGCGAGACGCCGGAGCUUGUCCCCGUCCGGCAGACUACUCUUCCCCCAUGGCGGGCUGCGCUGGGCCGUCUUCUGCCGGCCGCAAGGCCGGGGCUCCCCGCUGCUCUCGAAAAGCCGCAGGUACUAAACAGACAAGUACUUUGAAACAAGAAGAUGCUUCUAAAAGGAAAGCUGAACUAGAAGCAGCUGUGAGAAAGAAGAUUGAAUUUGAGAGAAAAGCUCUACAUAUUGUUGAACAGCUUUUAGAGGAGAAUAUUACAGAAGAGUUCCUAAUGGAGUGUGGGAGGUUCAUUACACCUGCUCACUACAGUGAUGUCGUGGAUGAACGUUCUAUUGUCAAACUCUGUGGUUAUCCUUUAUGUCAGAAGAAGCUGGGAAUUGUACCAAAACAGAAAUAUAAAAUUUCUACCAAAACCAAUAAAGUCUAUGAUAUUACUGAAAGAAAGUCUUUUUGCAGCAAUUUUUGUUAUCAAGCAUCUAAGUUUUUUGAAGCACAAAUUCCCAAAACUCCAGUAUGGGUUCGAGAAGAAGAGAGGCAUCCCGAUUUUCAACUGCUAAAGGAAGAACAAAGUGGCCAUUCUGGAGAAGAAGUACAGUUAUGCAGUAAAGCCAUUAAAACAUCAGAUAUCGACAAUCCUAGCCACUUUGAAAAGCAAUAUGAAUCUAGUUCUUCUAGCACUCACAGUGAUAGUAGCAGUGACAAUGAGCAAGACUUUGUUUCCUCCAUUCUACCAGGAAACAGACCAAAUUCAACAAAUAUUAGACCACAGCUGCACCAAAAAAGCAUAAUGAAAAAGAAAGCUGGUCACAAAGCUAACUCCAAACACAAAGACAAAGAACAGACAGUUGUAGAUGUCACUGAGCAGUUAGGCGAUUGCAAAUUAGAUAGUCAGGAGAAAGAUGCUACAUGUGAACUUCCUUUACAGAAAGUAAAUACUCAGAGUUCUUCAAAUAGCACUUUGCCUGAAAGAUUAAAAGCGUCAGAAAAUUCUGAAAGUGAAUACAGUAGGUCAGAAAUAACUCUAGUAGGCAUAAGUAAGAAAAGCGCAGAGCAUUUUAAAAGAAAAUUUGCCAAAUCAAACCAAGUGUCUAGGUCAGUGUCUAGUUCAGUGCAGGUGUGUCCUGAAGUUGGAAAGAGAAACUUACUUAAAGUUUUGAAGGAGACUUUGAUUGAGUGGAAGACAGAAGAAACAUUGAGGUUUUUGUAUGGCCAGAAUUAUGCUUCUGUGUGUCUGAAACCCGAAGCCUCUCUGGUUAAAGAAGAACUUGAUGAAGAUGACAUAAUCUCAGAUCCAGAUAGUCAUUUCCCUGCCUGGAGGGAAUCUCAGAACAGCUUGGAUGAGUCUUUACCUUUUAGGGGCUCAGGUACAGCCAUUAAACCACUGCCAAGUUACGAGAAUUUGAAAAAAGAAACUGAAAAGUUAAAUCUGAGGAUCAGGGAGUUUUACAGAGGACGGUAUGUUUUGGAUGAAGAAACCACCAAAUCACAAGACUCAGAAGAGCAUGAUUCCACCUUUCCACUGAUAGACUCAAGUUCCCAGAACCAGAUUAGAAAACGCAUCGUACUUGAAAAGUUGAGUAAAGUAUUGCCUGGGCUUCUGGUUCCUCUUCAGAUUACAUUGGGAGAUAUUUACACACAACUUAAAAAUCUUGUUCGAACUUUCAGGUUAACAAAUAGAAAUAUUAUACACAAACCUGCGGAAUGGACUUUAAUUGCUAUGGUGUUGCUGUCAUUGUGCAGUGGCUCAUGCCUAUAAUCCCAGCAUUUUGGGAGGCUGAGGCAGGAGGAUUGCUUGAGCCCAGGAGUUGAAGACCAGCCUGAGCAACAUAGUGAGACCCCGUCUCUACAAAAAAUAAAAACAUUAGCCAGGCACAGUGGCAUAUGUCUGUAGUCCUAGCUACUAGGGAAGCUGUGGUGGGAGGAUCGCUUCAGCCCAGGAGAUCAAGGUGCAGAGAGCCAUAAUCAUGCCACUGCACUCAAGCCUAGACUGACCCCAAUUCUUGGCAUUCAGAAACAUUCUCAGGAAGGUAUGGUGUUUACACGGUUUCUAGACACCCUGCUUGAAGAAUUACAUCUAAAAAAUGAAGACCUUGAAAGUCUAACCAUCAUAUUUAGAACCAGCUGUUUACCAGAGUGAUAUAUUCCAUGAAGACAAAAUAGAAGAUGAACUUCUAUUCACCGUUUCUGGAAUUCUAGCCGCCAUGAUGGUCUGGUGGUGACUGAUAACUAGUUUUAUUCCAAGACAUACCUUUACCUCUUUAAGUUUCAAUCUCCCAUCUCCCAGUCCUUCAGUCCCCAACUGCAGAGGAUGACCUCCCCAGAUAGAGGAGAAUCAUUACUCCAACAAGAAUAACCAAGUCUUUGUAUCCCUAGUACAAGACAUAGUAUUUUUAUUCGAAAAUGAAUGUUUAAGUAUUAAAUUGAAACUUGAAUGAAUAUUCAAGAAAA